GAUGUACGCUGGCGGCGUGCCUAAUACAUGCAAGUCGAGCGAAUGGAUUAAGAGCUUGCUCUUAUGAAGUUAGCGGCGGACGGGUGAGUAACACGUGGGUAACCUGCCCAUAAGACUGGGAUAACUCCGGGAAACCGGGGCUAAUACCGGAUAACAUUUUGAACCGCAUGGUUCGAAAUUGAAAGGCGGCUUCGGCUGUCACUUAUGGAUGGACCCGCGUCGCAUUAGCUAGUUGGUGAAGUAACGGCUCACCAAGGCAACGAUGCGUAGCCGACCUGGGAGGGUGAUCGGCCACACUGGGAAUGAGACACGGCCCAGACUCCUACGGGAGGCAGCAGUAGGGAAUCUUCCGCAAUGGACGAAAGUCUGACGGAGCAACGCCGCGUGAGUGAUGAAGGCUUUCGGGUCGUAAAACUCUGUUGUUAGGGAAGAACAAGUGCUAGUUGAAUAAGCUGGCACCUUGACGGUACCUAACCAGAAAGCCACGGCUAACUACGUGCCAGCAGCCGCCGUAA
rnacentral:rRNA from 1 species